GACGAACGCUGGCGGCGUGCUUAACACAUGCAAGUCGAACGGAAAGGCCCUGCUUUUUUGGGGUGCUCGAGUGGCGAACGGGUGAGUAACACGUGAGUAACCUGCCCUUGACUUUGGGAUAACUUCAGGAAACUGGGGCUAAUACCGGAUAGGAGCUCCUGCUGCAUGGUGGGGGUUGGAAAGUUUCGGCGGUUGGGGAUGGACUCGCGGCUUAUCAGCUUGUUGGUGGGGUAGUGGCUUACCAAGGCUUUGACGGGUAGCCGGCCUGAGAGGGUGACCGGCGACAAUGGGACUGAGAUACGGACCAGAGUGCAACGGGAGGCAGCAGUGGGAAAUAUUGCACAAUGGGAGGAAGCCUGAGGAAGAAACGCCGCGUGCGGGAAGACGGCCUUCGGGUUGUAAACCGCAUUCGCCUGUGACGAAGCGGGAGUGACGGUAAUGGGUAAAGAAGCACCGGCUAACUACGUG
rnacentral:rRNA from 1 species